rnacentral:rRNA from 1 species
CCGCGUGAGUGAUGAAGGCUUUCGGGUUGUAAAGCUCUGUUCUUGGGGAAGAAAAAAAUGACGGUACCCAAGGAGAAAGGACCGGCUAACUUCGUGCCAGCAGCCGCGGUAAUACGAGGGGUCCAAGCGUUGUUCGGAAUCAUUGGGCGUAAAGCGGGUGUAGGCGGCCGUGCAAGUCAGAAGUGAAAGCCCUGGGCU